UAAAAUACAAAAUGUACAAGAACACACAAUUCCAAGUGCUGUAAACAUAACUGAGAACCAGUUCCUUUACUAAACAUCCAUUUUAUAAAAUACAAGGUUUCAAUUUGAGCCCAUCUGAGCCUUAAAGAUCCAUUCUGAAUACCAAAAACAGGGCUUCACAGCCAGGCCCAGAAGAGGUCUGGUGAUAAUGGCUGGCCCUGGGUGGGGAUAGUUUACACCCGGGCAGCAGCACCACACAUGAACCCAAAGACAUGUUCUUUUUAAAGCUGUUUUCAGCCAUGUUUCUCUGUGCAUCUCCAGUAAGCAGAAGGCUACCCAUUCCAUUCCUCAACCCAAGAGCUAGCACAGUUAGAGUAGGAGGGGGUGCGUACUAGCACGUGCCCAGUUGCUCAGUGCUGCUAGUAGAAAUUGAUUUGCACAGUCCAAUGGAUGUGUGCUUUAACACCACUAUGUUGCACAAAAAUUUAAGUCUUUAUCUACAAAGCCAAAAAAUAUUGACUCUUAACACCAAAGCUUUUACAAAGCUGAUAUAAAACUGCUUACAUAGUAUACAAAGCUCUAUUUUAAAAUUUAAUGUUUAUUUUCAAUAGGAAAGCAUUUCUAGUGCUACAGGCAUCAAGGUAUUUAGAAGGCAUCAAAAUUUGGUGCAUAGCAACUCUGGAUCAUAGAGGCUUUUAAUUCUUGAGGGCACAAAGGGUAUUGCAAGGGGAACUCUUGCAAUAACCUCAUGUGAGGCAGCUACACCAGGGGCAAAAGGGUAGAGGCAAGUCUGGCCAUUUCUCUGGAAUGUCAACCGAGAGGCCAACUUCUUGCCCCUCCAAAGGAAGCUGUGGGCUUCCAACCACAGGCCCAGAAGCAAAUCUCACUAUCCACAUUCUGUGACACAACUCACUUUUCAAGAAAAUUUGAAAACACCCAGCUCCAAGAGGGGCCACAGUGAUCUGCUGAAGAAUAGACCUUUUUCUCUAACUUUAGGGGAGAAAUCUAAAAUAUAUUUUGUUUUUUUUAAAGACCAUACUUCCUCAUCCUGAGUCAACAGCUCCUAACCUACUGACAACAGGUGGUGGGCAAUAGGCCAGCUCCCUUUCCCAGACCUGAACUGGCCUCAGUAGAGAGAGUCCUGGCAUCAAGGGCCUGCAGUCUCCUGGAAUAACAGCAUCAGGCCUUCAACCAGCACACUGUCUCACAUAUAGGCACUCAAAAAAUCUGCUUCCUGAAUCAAUGGAAGUAUAUUAUUUCAUUUGAAAGCAUACUGCAAACUUCAGAGGCUCUGUAAUGGGCCCAGGAACAGGUAAAAAAAAUCCCAUUAGGGAGAGGGGUAAGGGCAGGUUUUUUUUUUUUUAAAGUACCCAACUCGGGUACCUCCUUUGGUAGACAGCAGGCUGCAGUUUCUGCUGGGCCCUGCCUUGGACACCAGUCUCACCAGCAGCAGCACCAGGGUGUCUUUGGUGUGGAAGGUCAGGUUAUCACUUCUGGAUGUGCUCAGAGCCUUCUGGGGAAAAGGCUGGUUUUUAGAUCAUACAGACAGGACAGGGUAGGCCAGAAUCAUUUCAGGCUAUAAACAGAAUGGCAGAUAAGCCUUCCAUGCCAGUGUGACUCUUAAAACCUUCCCAUCUGGAGUCCUGUAUUUUCUCUGCCCAUGCUGAUGUACUGCUCAUUUGUGCUUUAGCUCUGCACACAGCCUGGCCUCUAGAGAAGAGUUAGAACUGCAAAGCUGCCUAAACCACUGAGACUGGCUCCAAAGGUCACAGAACAGCCAAAGGCAGAUGCUUCUGUUUGGAAAAGGUUCUAGGACCAGAUGACACAAACAGGAAGCGCACUCCACAGCCUACUAGUUUUUAUGAUGGCAAGAAAUGAAAGUGACCAAGCUAGAACCCCACCAUUCAGAGUCACCUUAAAUGUAGCCAUCUUACCCAGGGUCCUGAGGGAAAAAGCAAUUUCAAUAUGGAGCCAGUAUGGAGAGAUUGCAAGAUUACCUAGAAAGUUACCAAAAGGCUAUGCUCUGGAAUGUCUUUUUAUAUUCCAACACUUCAAUGAUGGAAUGGUCUCUUCUCAUUUUAUCUAACAACAGUUUAGUUUUAUAAAGAGGUAUGAGCUACAUUUGGCUUUAUUUCCUAUAAAUCUAUGAACGUCUUCAGGACACAUGCUGACUUUCUGAGGCAUAGGUGUGGGCUUGGGAUUUUUUUUCUUUUUCUUUUUUUCUUUUCUUUUUUUUUUCUUUUUCUUUUUCUUUUUUCUUUUUUUUUGCUUCUAGAAGGUCUUAUCAAAAGUUCCUAUUUUAAAAAUUAUCAUAAAAACUAAAGGGCCCUUCAAAUGACCAUAAAGCAGUACAAAUCACCAAUCCUAGCUAAGUAACCAGGUCACCUGCAAAAGCAGCACCUCGGAAACAAGAGAGCCUGCUGCAUUCACACUCAAAGCACCCAUCAUAUAAAAGUAUCCUAGUUAAAUAUAAAAAGCAAAGCUCAUUUCCCCAAAACUCAAACAGCCUAUGCUGUUCCUGUUCUUUUGCCAAAUUUACCCAAGGCCUGAGGUGGAGGAAUGCUACUUUCCCCACAAAUGGUGGGUCCCACUCCUGGCCCCAGACCUGAAGGCUGCACAGUUGGAAACCCAAGGUCCAAGGAGAGAAACAUGCUGAGAAGUUGGUGGUGGACACAAGGCUGCAGUAAGCACUGUUAGAGCCCAUCAGAUCUUCCUAAAUCCAGGGACUCAGGACUUGGGAGGGGAGCCUGCCUGCUCACCCCUGCUCCUUGGGAAACAGAAAUCUGGGACAUGUCUCUCCCAAUUAUCUCGUUCACUGAAAAACAAGAAAAGGGAGAGUGAUUAGUGACCUCUGAGUGAUUAGCCAUAUGAUGCCCAACGCUGAGCUCUACCUCAGACAUUUCCCUUCCCAUGGCUUUCUGUAAAGAUAAAGGCAGUGUCUGAAGCCUGCUCCUGAGCUGAGUGGCAUUAGAGAUGGAAAGAAACAUCACUCCACAAACUGCUCCGGAUCUCUUUUUCUCUCUCUCUCAUUCAAUUCAUUUUGGGUUGGGAAGGGGGCUUACCCUCACUCUAAAGGUAUGUUUAAAUAAGUAUUCACCUUACUCUAACUUUUCUUUAAUUCGUAUCUCUUUGAGAAAGUUUUUAUUUUCUACAAUGCCACCUCCUAUGUAAAUGGAAUGAAAAUAAAUGCUUUGGUCAGAAUAA
rnacentral:antisense_RNA from 1 species